rnacentral:rRNA from 1 species
AAAGAUUAAGCCAUGCAUGUCUAAGCACAAGCCCUUGAAAGGUAAGGCCGCGAAAAGCUCAUUACAACAGCUAUUGUUUAUUGGAUCUUUACAUUCUUACACGGAUAACUGCGGUAAUUCUGGAGCUACUACGUGCAUUAAACGACGACCUUACGGAAGUCGUGCAUUUGUUAGACCAAACCAAUCGGUCUUCGGACCGUCAUUUGGUGAACUCUGAAUAACUUUGCUGAUCGCACAGUCUCGUACUGGCGACAAAUCCUACAAGUAUCUGCCUUAUCAACUUUCGAUGGUAGUUUAUACGACUACCAUGGUUGUAACGGGUAACGGAGAAUAAGGGUUCGACUCCGGAGAGGGAGCCUGAGAAACGGCUACCACAUCCAAGGAAGGCAGCAGGCGCACAAAUUACCCACUCGCAGCACGCGGAGGUAGUGACGAAAAAUAACGAGGUGGCUCUCUACGAGGUCCGCCAUCGGAAUGGGUACAAUUUAAAUCCUUUAACGAGGAUCUAUUGGAGGGCAAGUCUGGUGCCAGCAGCCGCGGUAAUUCCAGCUCCAAUAGCGUAUAUUAAAGUUGUUGCGGUUAAAAAGCUCGUAGUUGGAUCUGCGUUUGGUGAAAGCGGUCGCCCGACGGGUUGUUACUGCUUCUCCCGAACUAAUCAUUCGGUUUUCCCUUGAUGCUCUUCAUUGAGUGUCCUGGGUGACCGGAACUUUUACUUUGAAAAAAUUAGAGUGCUCAAAGCAGGCGAUUCGCCCGAAUAUUCGUGCAUGGAAUAAUGAAAAAGGUCCUUGUAGCCUUUUAUUGGUUAUUGUUAUGAGGAAAUGAUCGACGGGGACAGACGGGGGCAUUUGUAUUGCGACGUUAGAGGUGAAAUUCUUGGAUCGUCGCAAGACAAACUACUGCGAAAGCAUUUGCCAAGAAUGUUUUCAUCAAUCAAGAACGAAAGUCUGAGGUUCGACAGCGAUCAGAUACCGCUUUAGUUCAGACCGUAAACGAUGCCAUCUGGCGAUCCAUGGGUGUUAUAUAUGACUCCAUGGGCAGCCACCGGGAAACCUUUAAGUUGGGUUCCGGGGGAAGUGUGGUUGCAAAGCUGAAACUUAAAGGAAUUGACGGAAGGGCACCACCAGGAGUGGAGCCUGCGGCUUAAUUUGACU